rnacentral:misc_RNA from 1 species
GAUGAAGAACGGAGCGAAAUGCGAUAAGUAAUGUGAAUUGCAGAAUUCAGUGAAUCAUCGAAUCUUUGAACGCACAUUGCGCCCGCCAGUAUUCUGGCGGGCAUGCCUGUCUGAGCGUCAUUUCAACCCUCAUGCCCCUAGGACGUGGUGUUGGGGAUCGGCCAAAGCCCGCGAGGGACGGCCGGCCCCUAAAUCUAGUGGCGGACCCGUCGUGGCCUCCUCUGCGAAGUAGUGAUAUUCCGCAUCGGAGAGCGACGAGCCCCUGCCGUUAAACCCCCAACUUUCCAAGGUUGACCUCAGAUCAGGUAGGAAUACCCGCUGAACUUAAGCAUAUCAAUAAGCGGAGG